AGAGAGGUAGUAUUGUGGAAGAGAGGUUGUAGUGUGGAAGAGAGGUAGUAUAGUGGAAGAGAGGUAGUAUUGUGGAAGAGAGGUAGUGUCGUGGAAGAGAGGUUGUAUCGUGGAAGAGAGUUUCUGUCAUGGGAGAGAGGUAGUAUUGUGGAAGAGAGGUAGUAUCGUGGAAGAGAGGUAGUGUCGUGGAAGAGAGGUAGUAUCGUGGAAGAGAGGUAGUGUCGUGGAAGAGAGUUUCUGUCAUGGGAGAGAGGUAGUAUAGUGGAAGAGAGGUAGUGUCGUGGAAGAGAGGUUGUAUCGUGGAAGAGAGUUUCUGUCAUGGGAGAGAGGUAGUAUAGUGGAAGAGAGGUAGUGUCGUGGAAGAGAGGUUGUAUCGUGGAAGAGAGUUUCUGUCAUGGGAGAGAGGUAGUAUAGUGGAAGAGAGGUAGUAUCGUGGAAGAGAGGUAGUGUCGUGGAAGAGAGUUUCUGUCAUGGGAGAGAGGUAGUAUAGUGGAAGAGAGGUAGUGUCGUGGAAGAGAGGUUGUAUCGUGGAAGAGAGUUUCUGUCAUGGGAGAGAGGUAGUAUAGUGGAAGAGAGGUAGUAUCGUGGAAGAGAGGUAGUGUCGUGGAAGAGAGUUUCUGUCAUGGGAGAGAGGUAGUAUAGUGGAAGAGAGGUAGUGUCGUGGAAGAGAGGUUGUAUCGUGGAAGAGAGUUUCUGUCAUGGGAGAGAGGUAGUAUAGUGGAAGAGAGGUAGUAUCGUGGAAGAGAGGUAGUGUCGUGGAAGAGAGUUUCUGUCAUGGGAGAGAGGUAGUAUAGUGGAAGAGAGGUAGUGUCGUGGAAGAGAGGUUGUAUCGUGGAAGAGAGUUUCUGUCAUGGGAGAGAGGUAGUAUAGUGGAAGAGAGGUAGUAUCGUGGAAGAGAGGUAGUGUCGUGGAAGAGAGUUUCUGUCAUGGGAGAGAGGUAGUAUAGUGGAAGAGAGGUAGUGUCGUGGAAGAGAGGUUGUAUCGUGGAAGAGAGUUUCUGUCAUGGGAGAGAGGUAGUAUAGUGGAAGAGAGGUAGUAUCGUGGAAGAGAGGUAGUGUCGUGGAAGAGAGUUUCUGUCAUGGGAGAGAGGUAGUAUAGUGGAAGAGAGGUAGUGUCGUGGAAGAGAGUUUCUGUCAUGGGAGAGAGGUAGUAUAGUGGAAGAGAGGUAGUGUCGUGGAAGAGAGGUUGUAUCGUGGAAGAGAGUUUCUGUCAUGGGAGAGAGGUAGUAUAGUGGAAGAGAGGUAGUAUCGUGGAAGAGAGGUAGUGUCGUGGAAGAGAGUUUCUGUCAUGGGAGAGAGGUAGUAUAGUGGAAGAGAGGUAGUGUCGUGGAAGAGAGGUUGUAUCGUGGAAGAGAGUUUCUGUCAUGGGAGAGAGGUAGUAUAGUGGAAGAGAGGUAGUGUCAUGGAAGAGAGGUAGUAUAGUGGAAGAGAGGUAGUAUU